rnacentral:rRNA from 1 species
AGAGAGAGACAUGCGCGCAUAUCAAUAAGCGGAGGAAAAGAAACUAACAUAGGAUUCCCCUCAGUAACGGCGAGUGAAGCGGGAAGAGCUCAAAUUUGAAAUCUUCAAGGGUUCUACCUUUACGAAUUGUAGUUUAAAGAAGUGUUUUCUGUUGAGGUUUUGGUAAAAGUUCUUUGGAAUAGGACAUCAUAGAGGGUGAGAAUCCCGUAUUUGACCUUACUUUCCAACUUUGUGAUACACUUUCAAAGAGUCGGAUUGUUUGGGAAUGCAGUCCAAAAUGGGUGGUAAAUUUCAUCUAAAGCUAAAUAUUGGCGAGAGACCGAUAGCGAACAAGUACCGUGAGGGAAAGAUGAAAAGAACUUUGAAAAGAGAGUUAAACAGUACGUGAAAUUGUCAAAAGGGAAGCGUUUGACACCAGUGUUGUUUUCUCGAAAAUCAAUUAAAAAAGGCAGGAUUUUGUGUUGUAUUGACUUUAUCAGCUUUCUGCACUCUUUUCUUGUCUUUUUUAAUGCACUUUUCGUUUAACAAGUCAACAUCAAUUUCUUUUGUUGUAAAAGGGUCAUUGGAAGGUGGCUUUCUUUUCGGAGAAAGUGUUUAUAGCCUUUGGCCUCUGCAAUCGGAGAGAUUGAGGUCUGCAGCGUAGAUCCUUCGGGGUUAGAUACAUUUGUGCUAAGUUAUAGCCUUUCAUAGACAACUUGUUGACUAUGAUCAGUCAUGUAGCUUACUCGCUUAUGCUAUUUUACCUACGCUUAGGAUGUUGAUGUGAUACUGCGAGCA